AUGAGGCUGAGGGUCCUGUGUAGCAGAUAAGCUGACAGCUGCUGGAGUCCCAGGUAAGCUGACAGCUGUGGAGUCCCAGACAGAUUAGGAAACAAAAAGAAGUGAGAAGGAACCAAAUCUGGAUUAUAAUGUGGAUGCCUAAUGAUUUCCCAUUGAAACACUUACAAAAUUGCCUGUCUGAUGAGAGGAAUGAGCAGGAGCAUUGUCUUGGUGAAGGACUCUGAUGAAGAUUUUUCCAGGUUUCUCGUACAGCACAGAACAGAGGCUGAGAAGAAAGAGAGCUCUGAAGAGUCAGCAGAAGGGGGAACGGG